ACUGCGGAGCGAGAAAUGGCUGGACGUUCAAGUCGGAGACAUCAUCAAGCUGGAAAACAACCAGUUUGUCACAGCCGACCUCAUGUUGCUCUCCAGCAGCGAACCACUCAACCUGGUGUACAUCGAGACGGCAGAACUGGAUGGAGAGACUAACCUGAAGGUGAGACAGGCCCUGACCGUGACAGGAGAUCUGGGAGAGGAUAUUGAAAAACUAGCAGACUUUGAUGGUAAG